UACGUAGGGCGCAAGCGUUAUCCGGAAUUAUUGGGCGUAAAGAGCUUGUAGGCGGUUUGUCGCGUCUGCUGUGAAAAUCCGGGGCUCAACCCCGGACUUGCAGUGGGUACGGGCAGACUAGAGUGUGGUAGGGGAGACUGGAAUUCCUGGUGUAGCGGUGGAAUGCGCAGAUAUCAGGAGGAACACCGGUGGCGAAGGCGGGAUCCUGGGCCAGUACUGACGCUGAGGAGCGAAAGCGUGGGGAGCAAACAGG
rnacentral:rRNA from 1 species